CUACGGGGUGCAGCAGUGGGGAAUUUUGGACAAUGGGCGCAAGCCUGAUCCAGCCAUUCCGCGUGAGCGAAGAAGGCCUUCGGGUUGUAAAGCUCUUUCGCAAGGGAAGAAAACUUAUCCUCUAACAUAGGGUGAGGUUGACGGUACCUUGAUAAGAAGCACCGGCUAACUACGUGCCAGCAGCCGCGGUAAUACGUAGGGUGCGAGCGUUAAUCGGAAUUACUGGGCGUAAAGCGUGCGCAGGCUGUUUUGUAAGUCAGAUGUGAAAUCCCCGAGCUCAACUUGGGAACUGCGUUUGAACUACAAGACUAGAAUAUGUCAGAGGGGGGUAGAAUUCCAUGUGUAGCAGUGAAAUGCGUAGAGAUGUGGAGGAAUACCAAUGGCGAAGGCAGCCCCCUGGGAUAAUAUUGACGCUCAUGCACGAAAGCGUGGGGAGCAAACAGGAUUAGAUACCCGAGUAGUC
rnacentral:rRNA from 1 species